GGGCACAUGGUGUAGUUGGUUAUCACGCUCGCUUAGCAUGCGGUCAUUAAUUGCAAUGCGAGAGGUGUUGGGUUCAAUUCCCAAUGUGUCCA
rnacentral:tRNA from 1 species